rnacentral:tRNA from 1 species
GGAUUGGUGGUUCAGUGGUAGAAUUCUCACCUUCCUUGUGGGAGACCUGAGUUUGAUUCCUGGCUGAUGCA